rnacentral:lncRNA from 1 species
AAUUGUAAAAAUUACGGUAUUAUAAAUGUAAAUUAAAGUCAAUGAGAUAAGUGCAUUUUUACAAUUUCACACACAGAAUAUUUCUAGUAACUACAUUUCUUUCAAUGAAAUAAAUAAGAUAAAGUAACUGGUUUUAAUUUUUAAACAAAAGAAAAUCCACAUAUGUCUUUGUAACAUUCUUCAGUUGACUCCAUGGUAUGACAAGUACACAGUCUGCAACCACUUAAUGGCCUUGAAGUGACCUACACAUGCAUUUUGUGGGAUUUUAAUGCUAAAAAUACAUGUAAUGAGCGGCUACAAUAGUUUGAAACAUGGCACCUCAUAACAUGGGAUUUGUAUGGCAUUAUGGGCAUCAUUGGGCAAUAUUUCAUGGACAAGGUUGGUGAGAUAUGGUGGAUCUUAUGUUAGCAAUAUUUUAUGGUUUGUACACUUCAAAACCAUAAGCAAAAUCGUGAUCUACAUUGACAAAGUAAAGAACACCAAAUAUAACCCAUUGAACAUAAAUGUUGUGAUUAAUCACAAUAAACAUGUGCCAAAGAAAACAAAAUUACAAUGCUGUUAAAAGUUGGAUUGAACAAUUUUUAUUUUAUUUUAUUUUUUAAACUAUACAAGAUUUAAUGAAUCUUUUGAACUAGGUUGAUCAUUUAUGCUCUUACAAUUUUUUAAAAUAAUAUAUUGAUUUUAAAAAUUACAUGUAUAUUCUAUAAGUAAAUUAAUAUCAAAUGUGUAUGUUUACACACACACUUACUCACAAAGACACCCAAAUGCACAAUAAAUUAACCAAUACAACCAUAAUAGUAAUUUCCCCUUCUUUGUUUAAUUAUUGUUUUUAAUUUUCAAUUAUUCUGAGGUUGUGUGUGUAAAAUCAGUGAUUUUCUCGUUAGUUAUGCAUAGACUGUGAGAGGAAAGGUACAAGUUAUAUCUCCCACAAGUCUAAUCAGCGGCCCUAGAUGAUGUAGGACAGUUGAUAAAGUCUUUUGAAUAUUUGGAAAAUCUAGAGAAAAUUCAAGAAAGCGAUUUGCAACUUUCAAUAAUAAUGGAGAAAAACACAACCAGGCUUUUACAUUGAAAAAUAUAUUAUAACAAAUAAAUAAAUAAAUAAAUAAAUAAACCUACAAAUAAAUAGGCUGAGCUGGCAAGCCAAGCAAUCUGGGCUGGAGUGAGUACCUUUCAUUUGGUGUUGCCAGUGGUCCUUUCUUGCCAAGCUUGUGUUAACUUAUGGUAACCCUACAGCUCAUUGUUGACUUCGUUUCCACACCACUCUACAGCACCUCCAAAAAAAAACAUAUAUAUAUAUAUAUAUAUAUAUAUAGAUACCCACCCCACUAUAAAUCUAUUCUAUGCACAAACUUUGCCCAUUCUAAUCAGUGCAAGAACCAGAAAACUGGAUGGUCAAAGUGUUUUACAUUCCAAUCAGAAACUGAAUUGGAUUAAUUCAUCUACAUGUAUGUUUGUGUAGAUUACCCAUAAACAAACUACUCCACUUCGAAGAAAUCCAAUGCGGUGGAUUCAUACCAUGGCGCUGAAGCAUGAAAAAUGUAGAAGAUUCAGAUUACAAGGCUUUUUUUCUGCUUCAGUUGUGGACCAAAGGAAUUCCAAAUCCCCUGCACUAAUUGACAGUUACCUGCGACGUGGUUACAGCAGCACCACACAAAGUGCGUGAGGUCGAAAUCCAACAUCCAGUAGUUGAUUAUUCACAAGAGGGGCUUGAAACCAAAGAACCAGAUCAGUGUGUUUUUCCAAGACAAGUCACGGUGUUGUGUUUUUAGAGUUAGAACGAUGGUGGUUACGCUGGUGAGGUUGCUCUUUUUCGAAGUGGGUUCACCUUGCAGUAAAAAACGCUGAUUCUGUGAGGAAGCAACGGAGGAAAGUCUACACAUACGAGACCAAAGCGACAAAAUCAUCGAGCCAGCCCCCGGCUUAGAAGAAUCUACUGUAGAGAUUAUAUCUUGGCCCUAGUACCGUGUACCGAUUCGGGUUAGGAAUGCCCCCACUUUAGUAAUCAAUAAAGCUCCCCAGCAAAUAGUGACACAGGGGCGCUUUUUCUCUUGCUUUAAGCAGUUUAUUUGAUUGCAAUAAGCUGAUGAAACCGCAACGUGAUCCCUCACGAAGCUCACACAACUUCUGCAGGGCGAGGAUCAGACCCACU